GCCUCCGUAACUCAGAUGGAUAGAGUGCCGGCCUUCUAAUCCGGAAGUCGUUGGUUCAACUCCAACCGGGGGCA
rnacentral:tRNA from 1 species